GGUAACGUAGACGAGCGGUUAAGGCGCCACGUCAGGGUGAUCAAGCCUUGAUACAAUCUCUGGAUUUCGUGGUCCGAAAAGGCGUGAGUUCGAAUCUCACCGUUAUCA